CACGUAGGAGGCGAGCGUUGUCCGGAAUCAUUGGGCGUAAAGAGCGCGCAGGCGGCUUGGCAAGUCGGGUGUGAAAUCCCGGGGCUCAACCCCGUGACUGCAUCCGAUACUGUCAGGCUAGAGGUAGGUAGGGGAGAUCGGAAUUCCUGGUGUAGCGGUGAAAUGCGCAGAUAUCAGGAGGAACACCGGUGGCGAAGGCGGAUCUCUGGGCCUUAACUGACGCUGAUCCGCGAAAGCUAGGGGAGCAAACGGG
rnacentral:rRNA from 1 species